CCACCUACAUACAGAUGCUGUAUUCCACCAUCAGAUAAAUAUAUUCAUAUCGCAAUAAGGGCAGGACACAAAAAACCCCUUCACAUCUCUGCUUACUAAAAUAAAGGAUCAAUUCCUAUUUCAGCUGGGAACAGCAAUCAAAGCAGACUGGAAUAGUCUCCUUCCAGGCAGCAGACAAACAAGACUGCAUUGUGUGUGUAUCCCAAAAUAAACAUCAUGUGAAUGCUCUCCUUGACCGAGAAAAUGGAGAUGAUUAGGAAAGGGAAUUGUCUUUUGUAUACUGAUCUAUUAAUUGACUGGUUUUGUCCUACCUUCAAAAAGAAGUGGAAAAUUAGAGGUGUUUGGGAGCUCUUGUAGAGAAAUUUUACUCCUUCGCUAUUAAAAAACCACACAAUCCUAGAGGAUUCUACCUAAACGUCAGGAGCUUUUCUGUUUUGUAUCCACACUCACAGCACUCAGGUUUAUUUCAACCAGCAUUUAAGUAGUUCCUCUAUUAGGGGGGAGGAAGAGAGAAAGACAGAGGUCUGAAUUUGCCACACAUCUAAUUUUACCCAUUGGUGCAAGCGUGUUUACCGGAGAAAAGGUAGAUGAGGCUCAUAAAGCUGCUUCACUGAAUGCAGUGCAGAGAAAUUGCUAACAUUCCUAAACCCAGAGCACAUAAUUGUUACAAACUUGCUUCAAACAAAAAUUUACUCGCCCUCACAUCUCAGAGCUACAGCAAGUCCAAAAUCAGGGACACUUAAAGAAAAUGGUUAUUGGAGGGGGGAUGGUUUUGCUUUUGUUGGGUGUUGUUUUGGGGGGUUUUGUUGUUUAGUGUAUGGGGAUUCCUUCCUUUCCCCCAAAUCCCUGAUCCUAAUCAGAUCCGGAUGGAUGCUGAGUCUCUACUGCAACACCUUCAGUACAACAGAGUAUACAGGAGUGCUGCAAAACACUGCUGAAGUGUAGCAGAGACCAAUAUUUCUGUAUUUAGAGUGAUAGAAUGUGCUUGACCUGAAAUCUAACAGGAAUGCCAAGGCUUCCCAGUACUCUUACUUCCAUAUGAAAGAGAAUACACAGGCUCUAAUUAAGAUAAGCAGUCAGAACAUUGCUUAUGAACACAGUAAUCACAACUUACUGGCAUUGAAAUUGAUAAAAGCAAGAAAGCAAAUGAGAUUUACCUGGAUUAUCAUAACUAAAUACUUUAUCAACAAAGGCUAGGAAAAAACCAAAGUAAUAAUCAUAUUUAUUUACUAGAUAAUUAAAUAAAAGCUUAUUUCAUCAUGAAAGUACCUUGCUGCCCCUUGGUGUGAUAACAAUCCUGCUGUAAACCUGAGUCAUUUAAUGCCUGCUCUCUUUUAUUUUGCUGAUUGCAUUAAUCCACAAAUAAGCUGAAAAGGAAGGAGUCUGGAGCAGGGACAAUCUAUCUCCGUGCUCUAACACACCCUUGGAUGCCGGCAAUAAUUCAGCAGGCUCAACAAAUUGCCACAAUUGUGAGACCUCAUCUGAAGGAUUGUGUCCAGUUCUGGAAUCCUCAAUGUGAGAAGGAGAUGGAGCUGUUGGAAUGGGUCCAGAGGAGGCUACAAGGAUGAUCCAAGGGCUGGAGCACCUUCCCUAUGAGGACAGGCUGAGAGAGUUGGGGUUGUUCAGCCUGGAGAAGGCUCUGAGGAGACCUUAGAGUGACCUUCCAGUGGCUGAAGGGGCUACAGGAAAGCUGGAGAGGGACUGUUCAUAAAGAACGCACAUGUGGUUCGACGUUCCGAGGUGGGACAAAUAAUGAAACCUCACAGAACUAUAUAUGCAGUCACUUCACAUCAUGGAAUUGCACUUCAAACAUUGCACCUCCAACACUGUGUACAUGAACAGUAAUUACAGUAAUUUGGUGGGGGUUUGUGCCUGCAAAGCACACAGUAUAAAAUUUCCUUCAAAAUAUUAGGUAAGUUUUGAAUACUGUAGCAUGUAUUAGGCAAUCUGUUCAAACAGAAUUAAUCAUUGGUUUGUGUUGGCUGUUAUUACAAGCAAUUAUAUGUACCGUAAAGACAACUUCUGAAUGACUCAGGUAUUUUAUUAGUAAAAUUAAGUAUUUUUAAAAUUAUUUUUGAAGCUGUUGGAGGGCAUAGAGGGUAGAGAAAUAACAUUGAGAUGUUACCUGGUCAUAUUCCAUGGACAAUCAGCCUGAAAUGUAAUGCCAGGGCCUUCUACAGAAAUUAUUCAUAACGCGCUCCCAUGAAGGUGUACCAUUACUUCCUGCUCUCCCUCACGGACCCAGGAAAUCUGUUUUGUUGUGAGUAGUCUUCUCGGGUUGUUAGAGAAAUGCCUUCAACUGUGUUGUCCAGUUUCUUCUGAUCCUGGGGUUAAAUUAAUUCAAAAGACUGCCUGCCAGGGUAGAGGUCUGAGCUUGUGUCAACAUGUCUUUAGAAAUGCAUUAACAAGUUGCUCCACAUGUAUAAUUAAUAGGGACGAAGGAACCUUAGACCAUCAGAAAGUCUGUACUCCAUCCCAGUACAGCUCUUAUGCUUCUUGGUACUUUCUUUCCUUUAUGUUAUUUCUAGAACACAGAUAGAGUUGACCAGAUACUCCUCUUAGGAAUGUAAAUCUUAUAAAAGCAAUAAGACUGUAAUAAAACUAUUUGCCUCUCCGUGCAUCUUUUACAGAGUGAGCUCAAAGUGUUUUAACAGAGCUUGAUUAAAAAUUAAGCUCCUGUACAGUGGCGUCGAGCAGGUAAGUAGUAUCAUAUCCAUUUUACAGAUGGUUAAACUCACAAUAGAAAGGUUAACUGCUUUGUGCAUUGCUGCUCACUAAGUUAGCGGCACUGGUGGGAGUGAGAACCCUGACUGGAAUAAAUAAACCACUUCUUGAUUUGGUAGAGAAAUGGUAGUUUCAGUGUCACUAAAAAAGAAAUUUCUUCCAAUGGCUCUUUUAGCCAAGUAAGACACAAAUAAAAAUUUAUUUUUUGUCAAUGAAAAGAUUUAGUUUAAACUCAAAGGAAACCAUACUGAGCUCUUGUGCUCAACUUUAUAUGAGGCUUGGGUGAAAGUCAAAGAGAAAUUUGACAUUUUGAAAUCACAAUUUUUUUCCUGAGGUGACUCAGUUGGAAAUUGUUUCACCAGUGAGCUUUGACAGGUGAGCUGGCCAAUACCUGGACCGGUUUUGAGAGAUAGCGCCAGCCUAAAAGUCAGCACUGACAAGGUCUUUGUCUUGAAAGUGACACCAUUCAUGAGAUUUAUUUGACAUAGUUAAUAUUCAAUGCCAUUCUGAACACAGAAGUUCUGUCUUCUGAAGACCCGCGCUCCAAGCUGCAGGCUCGGGAGACAGGAGCUCUGCCUGCAGAGAUACUUUUCCAACAUCUACAAAAACAGAUUCCAAAAUGCCCUGCAUUGCAACUGUAACGUAUGCUCUUGUUCCUUCCCGACUUUAGGAAGCACGUUCCAAGGAGCCAAAUUUUGCCGCACAGCACAUGCUGUGCUGACAGUUCAGAGAAAGAGAGAUAUCUCCCUUCACGACUCUGACAGAGCCCCUGUGGACCACAGGGAAGCAUCGCUUUGUUGGGAUUGUGCUGUGGUGUUGGUGGAAGGGCAGAAGGCAGAGAAAACAAGCGCCGUUCUGUGGGAAGUGGGAUUUGACGGAGUGAUUAAGUCUCCCGUCCAGCUGGUGGGCACAGCAGCUGUUACUAUUACUGAUAGCAUUUCAUUUAUUUUAAAACCCUGUCUUAAAGCUUUAAUAUCCCAUCCGUUUUAAAUCACUUCAUCUGAAGGUGGCAGCAGGGGGAAUCAUCUGGUAAAGAACAAGGGGAAAAAGACAGAAAAUCUUGUAUGUCACUUUAUGAAACAAAGAUUCCAACAUUUCCCCAAUUUUCAAUUUUCUUUUCAGUUAGGACAUCCCUAAUACAAGAUUCAAUUCAUCCAGCGCUGCAAUAGAAGACAGACCAAAAAUCCCAGAGACUUGAUAAAGGUUCAUUUUCACCAACAGUAGGCAGGUGGAGAGAAGUUUUAUAACCCAAAAUUAUUUCCAUUAAUGAAGUGAGUGCCCUAACUGACACCUCCCCUUUCUGAGCCAUUCUGGUAAGUGCAAAAAUGGACAAUCGCCAUAGAAGUUUAAGGAUAAAGUCUCAAGAAUCGAUGCUGAUACAGAUACGAAACCAACAGGGAGAGAAGUUAAUUGGGAACUGUGAAGACAGGCUUGGAAAGGAGGGCUUCCCCAUAGAUGCGGCCGGCGUCCUCGCCUUGCUGCAAGAGGCACACGUGAUGGGGGCUUGCGGGAAUAGCAUAUCUUGCUGACGGUGAAAUGUCAGUCCCUGCAGCUAAGAGAAGAAUAGAUGGGCUUUGGGAUGGGCAAACGGGCAACUAACCGAAUGGCAAGCUUUCCUUAAAUAAACACAUGGCUCAUAUGUCCUGGGAAGGACCCAAAGACAUCUUACUUGGCAAAAGCCUAUAUGGUAGGGGCAUCGGUGGGGAGUCUUCUCUUUCAGUAGCCGGGUGAUUUAGAUCAGGUCCUCGAAGAUUCAAAGUGGUAAAAUAAUAGGUAAAUCUGAAAUCUAUGAUUUUCUGUUGGAAUCCAGUUUUGGAACUGAUUCCAUAUGAGACCAUGGGUUUUACAGAGAAACCAUGUAUGCUUCAGUUUCUGUGCGUGUAAUAUAGUGUAUGCAAAGCACUACAUACAACUCUGCGUCAAAGUGUACUACCUGACAUGUGUGCUGCGUGUGAAGUGAACCCAGUGAUGCUGCAGGGAUGAAAAGGAGGUAGCAAUAAUGACCUCAUACCUUGAAAUCUUUCCCACAUAUAUCUAAUAAAUCAAAGAACACCUAAAACCAAAACAAAACCAAGCGAUCAGUCUAAAAUUCCUAUAAUUUGAUAAAAUAUAUGGAGAAGACAUAAAUUAAACCAGCAUGGCAGAGAUACUUUGACAUCUUAGUCCAGACCAAAUAACUGUGUCUGAUUUUAUUUCUAAUCAGAUCAUCAAUCCUAUGUGCAGGAAAAUCCUUCUCUUCAUAUACUAUAGAAGUUAAACAUUCCCACACCUAACACAUCCCUCAAGAGACCAGUGUAUCAUCUGCGAUUCACCCAGGAGGUGAUAAUGAUUAAGUCUGGUGCCUGUGUUCAGCAGAACACAGCUCUGAAGCACAAAGGUUAUUAUUUACUCUGUCUGACUGUGGCGCUCUCUGCAACCUGCCUUUCCUCCCGGGCAUUCCCACUGAGUUGAGUUACGGUCUUGCUUUGUUCUGGUGGGAGGAGAUGACUCACUAUUUGUGCUGUAAGACUACAAGGAGACACCUUGAAGCAAAAUAUGGCUUUGAAGUGCCAGCUUGCUUCACAGAGCAGAUGGCUGGGCAAGGCUGAGGUUAGAGAUGUUCAUUAUAAACCCAUCAUCAAACUGGGACAUAGAUGUACGGUGAUUAUCAGAUCGAGGGGGUGUGCUUAGAACCACAUCUUCUAUGUUGCUGCCCGAGGUAUGCAAGAUUGCUGUCAAGUUUUGGCAAGCGAGGUCAGAUCCUCCUGUCACACACUGGAGAGCAACGCCACUGAAUCCAGAAAGAGAUGGGAAAGCUGUACCACCUCUCUUUGCAUGGAAUGUCUGCUGUCUCCAAAUAAUGCCAUCUAUAAUCCUAAAUAAAAUCAGGAUUCACCCUCCAAAGCAGAAACCACAAACACAGGUUACCAAUGUAUAUGCAGAUCAUCACUACAAAAGGUCCACAUGGAAUUAUUUUCUGUCUUUCUGUAUGAAAAAGUAGAGAAUAAGCGCACACACAUGCACACGUGCACGACUGCCAUUUCCACUGCCCAGGCGGUAUCUUCCUUAGGUAAACCAGCAUAUCACAUUAGUAAAAGUUAAGGGAGCUCCAUCAAUCUUUCCCAAACAAGAACUGCAUCCCAGAUUAUAUAGUAGCGAGCUCAGAAUUGAGGCCGACAAACAAUUGCCAUUUCCUUUUGUCAAAGCAUACCUCAGGUUAAACAGAAAGCAGUUGGUUCCUUUGAUGUACUCGCACAGUCUCACAAAACCCACACUAUCCAGUUGUGGAUAAUCUGCAUCCUACACAUCAACAACGGAGAGAUCAGCCCGCGUGAAAGAGUUUCCUCUGAAAACACCACAAACUUCUCAGCCUAAGGACUUCUGUUCCCUCAAGGAAUAAUAAAAAUUAGACUAUGUUAAAUCUGUAGCUGUUUUCCUGCCGUAUACUGUAAUGUUCAUGAGUUUAUGGUUAGGACACUUCCUGCUUACAUUUCAAAUCCUACAUUACAGGGUUUAUUUUAAUUUGGCUGUUAAAAAAAAAGCCAUUCCAGACCGAAUAAUCUCUAAAGCAGCUUUUUCUUCCAAUAUUUGUUUUAAAGAAGAUUUUUGAAGCUGUGGACAAUAUACCUAACUUUGCACUUACAACACGACACCAUCUUGGAAACAUAGUUUACAAUUGGAUUUUGAGAAUUUCCAACCUCAAGUUCCUCAAGGAUGAACUAUUUCUAGAAUAUACUUAUAUAUCACUCCCUCGUCACCUUUCACCAAACUCUUUUCUGAGGUCAGUAAAUACGACGACAGUUAGGACUCGCCAUGGGAAGGAGCAGCGAAUCCACUUACAGAACAUUUCCUUGCUUCAUCUUUUGAGCACACUGCUGGCUCAUGUUCAGUCGCUGUCAACCAUCACCCCCAGGUCCUUCUCCUCCGUGCAGCUUUCCAGCCACUCUUCCCCCAGUCUGUAGCUGCACAGGGUUGUUGUACCCCAAGUGUAGGACCCAGCAAUUGGCCUUGUUGAUCCUCAUGCCAUUGGUCUCAGCCCAGCGGUCCAGCCUGUUCAGGACCCUUUGGAGCCUCCCUACCCUCCAGCAGAUCCACGCUCCCACCCAGCUUAGUGUUGGCUGCAAACUUGCUGAGGGUGCACUCAAUGCCUUCAUCCAGGUCAUUGAUAAAGACAUUGAACAGGACUGGAUCCAGCACUGAGCCCUGGGGGCACCACUUGUAACCGGCCUCCAGCUGGAGUUAACUCCAUUGACCACCACUCUUUGGGCCCGGCCAUCCAAACAGUUUUCCACGCAGGAGAGUUUCCUAAGAAGAAUGCUGUGGGAAACUGUGUCAAAGGCUUUACCGAAGUCCAGGAAGACAACAUCCACAGCCUUUCCCUCAUCCAGCAGGCGAGUCACUUUGUCAUAGACGGCUAUCAGGUUAGUUUGGCAAGACCUGCCUUUCAUGAACCCGUGUUGACUGGGCCUGAUCACCCGGUUCUCUUGCAUGUGCUCCAUGAUAGCACUCAAGAUCACCUGUUCCAUGACCUUCCCCAGCACUGAGGUCAGACUGACAGGCCUGUAGUUUCCUGGAUCCUCCUUCUGACCCUUCUUGUAGAUGGCUAUAACAUUUCCAACACAUCUGUCUCACCUCUGUGGUUAGCCUGGCAUUUCGAAAAACAUCAAACACCAUAUUUCUGUGGAAUCUUUUGGAGUUCACAGAAGUGCUUUGCCAUCUCCCAGUGCACGGUUCAGAUUGUUAAUAAGGGCAUCUCCAUGCAUUUGCCCAACUGACCAAAAUGACCUUAAGGGAUUUAUUCUGGUCAUUUCCUCCUGCGACUCAAAUUCACAUUUGAAGCCAGAUCUUCAAAGGAUAAAGAGUAAUACUUCAAGCUUCUGCAGAUUGCAAACCUAAUCUGCUCUUUAAAGAGAGACACUUUCUCAAUUUGAGAAAAAUCAGUGGGCAAAAAAUAGACUAGAAUUGUUUGGCAAGUAUGCUCACAGUCAUUUCAUUCCCUGUUCAAUACCAUGAAGACCAAACAUAAUUUCUACUGCAAAGUUUUUGAUUCUUGCCCUAAUUAAAGAGCAAAACCCCCACACAUCACCAAGCUGUGCCUGGGAAUGUCUGCUAGCUGGACUGUAUGACAUUUAGGUUUUAAGCAAAGGUCACAAAGUUGGCUUUUCUGCUCUCUUCUCAACUCCUCUUUUGCUGAUUCUUCCAGCUAAGGGGGAGUUUCUGAGGUGGUGUGCAACGCCUCUCUCUUGUACUUAGCUGAGCUAUCGGUGAGAGGCAUGGCCAGGAGAUAAAAAGAAAGAGUCCAAGUCCAGUCACUUAUAUUCCAUUGAAGAAUCCACUUAGAAGAAACACCUCACGUACUGGAACAGUUUGAGCAUACCCUGCCAGCACCAAGGUCUGGAUAGAUGGGUUUGACUUUCUUAGUUCUGAGUUGACAAGACAUUUUUGUACAGCCCACUAAGUGACACAACACAUUAUGACUUAAAUGAAAGCUCUUAAACAUGCAAAAGGUGCUUUGGAGGAGAACUCUACCUUAGAGAUUCAACUGACAUCAAAUACUGCUUGAAAUAGCCUGCACCACUUCAUUCCUGGGUG